AUACGUAGGGGGCGAGCGUUGUCCGGAAUGAUUGGGCGUAAAGGGCGCGUAGGCGGCCCGGUAAGUCUGGAGUGAAAGUCCUGUUUUUAAGAUGGGAAUUGCUUUGGAUACUGUCGGGCUUGAGUGCAGGAGAGGUAAGUGGAAUUCCCAGUGUAGCGGUGAAAUGCGGAGAGAUUGGGAGGAACACCAGUGGCGAAGGCGACUUACAGGACCUGAACUGACGCUGAAGUGCGAAAGUGUGGGGAGCAAACAGGAAGAGAUAACCGUGGAGUCCACACUUUAAACGAGGAAUGCUAGGUGUAGGGGGUAUCGACCCCUUCUGUGCCGCAGGCAACACAAAAAGCGUUCCGGCUGGGGAGUACGGCCGCAAGGUUGAAACUCAAAGGAAUUGACGGGG
rnacentral:rRNA from 1 species